rnacentral:tRNA from 1 species
AGGGUAUAGCUCAGUGGUAGAGCACAUGUUUAGCAUGCAUGAGGUCCUGGGUUCAAUUCCCAGUACCUCUA